ACGAACGCUGGCGGCAGGCCUAACACAUGCAAGUCGAACGCUCCGCAAGGAGAGUGGCAGACGGGUGAGUAACGCGUGGGAAUUUCCCCCAAGGUUCGGAAUAACUGAGGGAAACUUCAGCUAAUACCGAAUGGUCCCCGCAAGGGGUAAAGAUUUAUCGCCAUGGGAUGAGCCCGCGUUGGAUUAGCUAGUUGGUGAGGUAACGGCUCACCAAGGCUUUGAUCCAUAGCUGGUCUGAGAGGACGACCAGCCACACUGGGACUGAGACACGGCCCAGACUCCUACGGGAGGCAGCAGUGGGGAAUCUUGGACAAUGGGCGCAAGCCUGAUCCAGCCAUGCCGCGUGGGCGAUGAAGGUCUUCGGAUUGUAAAGCCCUUUUGGCGGGGACGAUAAUGACGGUACCCGCAGAAUAAGCUCCGGCUAACUUCGU
rnacentral:rRNA from 1 species